rnacentral:rRNA from 1 species
UCAGGAUGAACGCUGGCGGCGUGCUUAACACAUGCAAGUCGAACGAUGAUGCCCACUUGUGGGUGGAUUAGUGGCGAACGGGUGAGUAACACGUGAGUAACCUGCCCUUGACUCUGGGAUAAGCCUGGGAAACUGGGUCUAAUACCGGAUAUGACCUUCCAUCGCAUGGUGGUUGGUGGAAAGCUUUUGUGGUUUCGGAUGGACUCGCGGCCUAUCAGCUUGUUGGUGGGGUAAUGGCCUACCAAGGCGACGACGGGUAGCCGGCCUGAGAGGGUGACCGGCCACACUGGGANUGAGACACGGCCCAGACUCCUACGGGAGGCAGCAGUGGGGAAUAUUGCACAAUGGGCGCAAGCCUGAUGCAGCGACGCCGCGUGAGGGANGACGGCCUUCGGGUUGUAAACCUCUUUCAGUAGGGAAGAAGCGAAAGUG